rnacentral:lncRNA from 1 species
UUUUAUUGGUACCUCCGUUUCCACGUUUUCCUUUCGGAUUCAUGAAGAGAGAGAGAUCCUGGGGUUGGACCCCAAGACGACAUACAACCGGUUCUGUGGAGACCAGGAGAAAGCGUGCGAGCAGCCCACGCACUGGAAGAUUGCGUACUGAGGGCCACCUAUCCACCACCAGUCACUCGGUCACAGGGUCCCCGAGGAGGCUCCCACUUGGAUGUCACAUGCGUGCAAGUCCAGAAAUGGGAGAACAUUUGUCAGCUCCGGCACAAGCCUUUCAACCGCCUUCCUGAGCAAGUUGAGAAUGGCCAGUGUGUGGCAACCCGUACAGGCGUGGAUGCGGGCUCCUGAGGUGUUGGGGUGACUGACUUCUGAGAUCACUUCACACAUGGCCAGUGUGAGCAGACACCAGGUUUUGCCUCAGCCUCCACCUGUAUGGAGGUUCCUUCUGAGUGAACGACUCAGGCACUGCUGUCAUCUGAGUGCUGGGAACCUUAGGACAGCCCUUGAGCCUUGCCAUAGACUCUCUCACCUCACGUGGAUUCCCCAGACUCGUUGCACACUGCUGAGAAAUAGAAUGGAGAGGGAACAGAAGUGGCCUUCAAAAGGCCACAUCUGAGACAUGCCCCUGCUUUAUGAAACCCUUUCCUAGGCCUCACGCUGCACCAUGGGAGGCAGAGUCAGCACAGCCUUGGCCAGGGCAUCCCCAGGUCCUUGACCUGGUGCUUACCAGUACACCCCUCCCCCCAGUGCUGUGCACUGAGCACCCCUGCCCCCUCAGCUACUGCCCAGGUCUCCAUCCCAAGCACCAAGGUAGUCCCUGAGCACAGACUCAGCCAACCAAGUAGAAUCACGUAUUUAUUUUCCAUUUGUACAUCCAAGAGUAUGAAUAAAAUACUUUUUCAAG